AUUCAGCUGACGAGUCCCAAAUAGAACGAGACGCGCGUCCUCGAU
rnacentral:hammerhead_ribozyme from 1 species